rnacentral:tRNA from 1 species
CACUGGGAUGGCCGAGUAGGCAAUUAACUGUAAAUUAAUUCACGGGGAAACCCCCUCCCUUU